AUUGAACGCUGGCGGCAUGCCUUACACAUGCAAGUCGAACGGCAGCACGGGUGCUUGCACCUGGUGGCGAGUGGCGAACGGGUGAGUAAUACAUCGGAACGUACCUUAUCGUGGGGGAUAACGCAGCGAAAGUUGCGCUAAUACCGCAUACGCCCUGAGGGGGAAAGCGGGGGACCGUAAGGCCUCGCGCGAUUAGAGCGGCCGAUGUCUGAUUAGCUUGUUGGUGAGGUAAAAGCUCACCAAGGCGAUGAUCAGUAGCUGGUCUGAGAGGACGAUCAGCCACACUGGGACUGAGACACGGCCCAGACUACUACGAGAGGCAGCAGUGGGGAAUUUUUGACAAUUGGGUCAACCCUGAUCCAGCCAUGCCGCGUGAGUGAAGAAGGCCUUCGGGUUGUAAAGCUCUUUUGUCAGGGAAGAAACAGCAGCUCUAACACAGUCUGCGAAUUACGGUAUCUGAAGAAUAAGCACCGGCUAACUACGUGCCAGCCGCCGCCGUAA
rnacentral:rRNA from 1 species